rnacentral:rRNA from 1 species
UACGUAGGGUGCGAGCGUUGUCCGGAAUUAUUGGGCGUAAAGGGCUCGUAGGCGGUUUGUCGCGUCGGGAGUGAAAGCCUCGGGCUUAACUCGGGGCUUGCUUUCGAUACGGGCAGACUAGAGGUAUGCAGGGGAGAACGGAAUUCCUGGUGUAGCGGUGAAAUGCGCAGAUAUCAGGAGGAACACCGGUGGCGAAGGCGGUUCUCUGGGAAUGACCUGACGCUGAGGAGCGAAAGUGUGGGGAGCGAACAGG